rnacentral:rRNA from 1 species
CCUACGGGAGGCAGCAGUGGGGAAUUUUGGACAAUGGGCGAAAGCCUGAUCCAGCAAUGCCGCGUGUGUGAAGAAGGCCUUCGGGUUGUAAAGCACUUUUGGCGGGAACGAAACGGUGUUGGCUAAUAUCCGAUACUAAUGACGGUACCCGCAGAAUAAGCACCGGCUAACUACGUGCCAGCAGCCGCGGUAAUACGUAGGGUGCAAGCGUUAAUCGGAAUUACUGGGCGUAAAGCGUGCGCAGGCGGUUAUGUAAGUCUGAUGUGAAAUCCCCGGGCUCAACCUGGGAAUUGCAUUGGAGACUGCAUAGCUAGAAUCUGGCAGAGGGGGGUAGAAUUCCACGUGUAGCAGUGAAAUGCGUAGAGAUGUGGAGGAACACCGAUGGCGAAGGCAGCCCCCUGGGCUAAGAUUGACGCUCAUGCACGAAAGCGUGGGGAGCAAACAGGAUUAGAUACCCUGGUAGUCCACGCCCUAAACGAUGUCUACUAGUUGUCGGGACUUAAUUGUCUUGGUAACGCAGCUAACGCGUGAAGUAGACCGCCUGGGGAGUACGGUCGCAAGAUUAAAACUCAAAUGAAUUGACGG